rnacentral:rRNA from 1 species
AACGAACGCUGGCGGCGUGCCUAACACAUGCAAGUCGAGCGCGAACGAUCCCUUCGGGGGUCUAGUAGAGCGGCGAACGGGUGAGUAACGCGUGGGUAACCUGCCCUUUGGUGGGGAAUAACCUCGGGAAACUGAGGCUAAUGCCGCAUGAGCUCCUGGACUUCGCGGAGACCGGGAGGAAAGAAUGCCUCUGCUUCAAGCAUUCGCCAGGGGAGGGGCCCGCGUCCCAUUAGCUUGUUGGUGAGGUAACGGCUCACCAAGGCGACGAUGGGUAGCCGGCCUGAGAGGGUGAACGGCCACACUGGGACUGAGACACGGCCCAGACUCCUACGGGAGGCAGCAGUGGGGAAUUUUGCGCAAUGGGGGAAACCCUGACGCAGCGACGCCGCGUGCGGGAUGAAGGCCUUCGGGUUGUAAACCGCUGUCGUACGGGACGAAACCCCGGUGGAUGAAUAAGCCAUCGGGCUGACGGUACCGUGCAAGAAAGCCCCGGCUAACUCCGUG